UUGGGAAAAAUUUGGUUUUUUCUCUAAUAUAUGAAAGUAAAUAAGAUUUGAGAGGUAUUUUUAACUUUACUUUUCAAAAAGGAAA